rnacentral:rRNA from 1 species
UACAGAGGUCUCAAACGUUGUUCGGAUUCAUUGGGCGUAAAGGGUGUGUAGGUGGCGCCGUAAGUCGGGUGUGAAAUUUCGGAGCUUAACUCCGAAACUGCAUUCGAUACUGCGGUGCUUGAGGACUGGAGAGGAGACUGGAAUUCAUGGUGUAGCAGUGAAAUGCGUAGAGAUCAUGAGGAAGACCAGUGGCGAAGGCGGGUCUCUGGACAGUUCCUGACACUGAGACACGAAGGCCAGGGGAGCAAACGGG